rnacentral:rRNA from 1 species
GAUGAACGCUAGCUACAGGCUUAACACAUGCAAGUCGAGGGGAAACGACAUCGAAAGCUUGCUUUUGAUGGGCGUCGACCGGCGCACGGGUGAGUAACGCGUAUCCAACCUGCCCAUCACUUGGGAAUAACCUUGCGAAAGUAAGACUAAUACUCAAUGAUAUCCCACGAAGGCAUCGGAAUGGGAUUAAAGAUUUAUCGGUGAUGGAUGGGGAUGCGUCUGAUUAGCUUGUUGGCGGGGUAACGGCCCACCAAGGCAACGAUCAGUAGGGGUUCUGAGAGGAGGGUCCCCCACAUUGGAACUGUGGCACGGUGCAAACUCCUACGGGAGGCAGCAGUGAGAAAUAUUGGUCAAUGGACGGGAGCCUGAACCAGCCAAGUAGCGUGCAGGAAACCGGCCCUAGGGGUUGUAAACUGCUUUUAGAAGGGAAUAAAGUGGGUCACGUGUGACUUUUUGCAUGUACCUUAUGAAUAAGGACCGGCUAAUUCCGUG